rnacentral:rRNA from 1 species
GGGUGAGAUCAUACCAGCACUAAUGCACCGGAUCCCAUCAGAACUCCGCAGUUAAGCGUGCUCGGGCGAGAGUAAUACUAGGAUGGGUGACCUCCUGAGAAGUCCUCGUGUUGCACCCC